rnacentral:rRNA from 1 species
GGCUCAGGACGAACGCUGGCGGCGUGCUUAACACAUGCAAGUCGAACGAUGAACCUCCUUCGGGAGGGGAUUAGUGGCGAACGGGUGAGUAACACGUGGGCAAUCUGCCCUGCACUCUGGGACAAGCCCUGGAAACGGGGUCUAAUACCGGAUACUGAUCAUCUUGGGCAUCCUUGGUGAUCGAAAGCUCCGGCGGUGCAGGAUGAGCCCGCGGCCUAUCAGCUUGUUGGUGAGGUAAUGGCUCACCAAGGCGACGACGGGUAGCCGGCCUGAGAGGGCGACCGGCCACACUGGGACUGAGACACGGCCCAGACUCCUACGGGAGGCAGCAGUGGGGAAUAUUGCACAAUGGGCGAAAGCCUGAUGCAGCGACGCCGCGUGAGGGAUGACGGCCUUCGGGUUGUAAACCUCUUUCAGCAGGGAAGAAGCGAAAGUGACGGUACCUGCAGAAGAAGCGCCGGCUAACUACGUGCCAGCAGCCGCGGUAAUACGUAGGGCGCGAGCGUUGUCCGGAAUUAUUGGGCGUAAAGAGCUCGUAGGCGGCUUGUCGCGUCGGUUGUGAAAGCCCGGGGCUUAACCCCGGGUCUGCAGUCGAUACGGGCAGGCUAGAGUUCGGUAGGGGAGAUCGGAAUUCCUGGUGUAGCGGUGAAAUGCGCAGAUAUCAGGAGGAACACCGGUGGCGAAGGCGGAUCUCUGGGCCGAUACUGACGCUGAGGAGCGAAAGCGUGGGGAGCGAACAGGAUUAGAUACCCUGGUAGUCCACGCCGUAAAC